GGGACGUCAUGACGUAAUGUGGCUAAGAUCAUCUCUUCAGCUACUGUUUCCUUUUGAAUUCUUGAACCCACCCUUUCUUUAGGAGAUGCACAUUUUGAAACUUCAAAAGAUAGCUUUGCUCCACUUUAAUUUUCUCUUUGAUUAAUUAAUUUCAUAAAGAGUGGAUGGACAUGGUCCCCAGGAUCCUGCAGCAGAUUGACGGCUACACAGUUUCCGUCAUCUGUUUGCCCAGAGCCUGAAUACCGAGCAGAGGUACGAUUUCUGCAGUGUACCCCUCUGAUGUUCUCCCAUUUCAUUCCAAGAGACCAGCUGUAAAGGCAAGAUGGCAACUCCAUUUUCAUGCCAGUUCAUCCUUGGCCUCUCUCCAGAUUUCGAGUAUUUAGGGCUUGAUUUUGCUGGCUGCUUCAUUCCUUGUGUGCACAGAGCUCCCAUUGACUUCAUUAUGAUAAACAGAAUGAUGAUAAACUUCAAUGGUAAACAGAAGGGUUCUUCACUUCAUUGGGAAUUCGACAUGUAUGAAGAGACGUGGUCCAGUAAAAUCAGCCCAUUUUGGAUCCAAUAAAUAAGCAUAAUAGUAUCUACAGUGCCAAGUUGGUGUCAUGUGACAUAUGUCUAAGUGAAUAUGGGCGCUGGAGAUUCCACUUCAGAUGUAUACACACACACACACACACACACACACACACACACACACACACACACACUCUUUAAGAAGCUGAUUUUUUUGUUUGUUUGUUUUCUUGUGAAGAUGGGUCACAAAUAAGGCCCACUGGAGCAAGUAAUUUAUGGAAUUUUUAAUAUUCACCAUUUCUUCACUGGUUCAAAAAAGGCACAGACAACUAUGUUGCAUAAUUUUCUGGCAAUGUCACAAAGUAGCAUCAUGUGGCUAGUUCUACCAGGUUCAGUUCUAAUAGACUUUUUCUAGGCAUGCAUAAUUAGUUGAGUCAAAAUCAGCAUUUCUUUUUAAUUAUUGUUGGUUGUCUAUAAAAUCACAUUUUGUUAGAAUAAUGACAUUGCUACAUUUCCUAAUUUAUUUAUUUUAAGAUGAAACCUAAGCUGGAGUUUGAUGUAAAGAAAUAAAAGAACUUAGGCACAGUAAGCUACCCAUUUUAUGAAUGGUUAAAUUCUGUAAAUGCUGGUUAGUCUAGAAGUGUUUUCCCAUAAGGUUGAAUAAACUUCGUUUGUUGUGUAUCUUUCUUGGCUUAGAUGAACUUUUAAACCUUCCAGUUAGCAUGUCCAGAUAAUGAACUAUUUAUACAGGCUUUUUUUUUUUGUUGUUGUUGUUAAAGAUUAAAAAAAAAUUUGAUUGUUCUAACAAAAGAGACUUGAUAACUUUCUGUGUAUAACCAUUAUGGGAAAUAUCCUUUUUGCUUUUAAGUUUCUUGACUUUCCGCUUUCUCUGUCUUCUUGACCUUUUUGAAACUUUUUUCUUAUAAAUAUUUCCUAGAAGCCAGCCGCUGUUCCUCCAUUUUACCCCUCUACCCAAGUACAUUGUUAGCAUCCUCUUUAUGGUAACUUGUUAAUCUAAAUGUCACUGGAAUCUUUAUCAACAGCCUAAAAUUUUUGAGAUGUUUCACAGCUUGGCCUCUGGCACAGAUUUUACAUUUUCAGAAGAAAAAAAAAAAACCUACCUAUUUUUACUUUUCAAGUAUUUAGUUUCUGAAAAUACAUCUGAAUAUGUUUUAACAAAGCAUUUUUCUCAAGAAAUAUAAAAUGAUUUCUCUACAAAACUAUCGUGUGGCCUAGAUUCAAAGGCUUCAUUAAAAGCAACGACUAUAAAUAAAUGAC
rnacentral:lncRNA from 1 species